UACGUAGGGGGCUAGCGUUGUCCGGAAUCAUUGGGCGUAAAGAGCGCGUAGGCGGCCAGAUAAGUCCGGUGUGAAAGUCAAAGGCUCAACCUUUGAAUGCCGCUGGAAACUGUCUGGCUAGAGUCCGGGAGGGGCGAGUGGAAUUCCUGGUGUAGCGGUGAAAUGCGCAGAUAUCAGGAGGAACACCAAUGGCGAAGGCAGCUCGCUGGAACGGUACUGACGCUGAGGCGCGAAAGCGUG
rnacentral:rRNA from 1 species